CUUCGGGGUGAAGCUCGUGGAACGAGCGGCGGACGGGUGAGUAACACGUGGGCAACCUGCCUGUAAGAUCGGAAUAACCCCGGGAAACCGGGGCUAAUGCCGGGUAAUACUUUCUUUCGCAUGAAGGAAAGUUGAAAGAUGGCUUCUUGCUAUCACUUACAGAUGGGCCCGCGGCGCAUUAGCUAGUUGGUGAGGUAACGGCUCACCAAGGCGACGAUGCGUAGCCGACCUGAGAGGGUGAUCGGCCACACUGGGACUGAGACACGGCCCAGACUCCUACGGGAGGCAGCAGUAGGGAAUCUUCCGCAAUGGACGAAAGUCUGACGGAGCAACGCCGCGUGAACGAUGAAGGUCUUCGGAUCGUAAAGUUCUGUUGUUAGGGAAGAACAAGUACCGUGCGAAUAGAGCGGUACCUUGACGGUACCUAACGAGGAAGCCCCGGCUAACUACGUGCCAGCAGCCGCGGUAAUACGUAGGGGGCAAGCGUUGUCCGGAAUUAUUGGGCGUAAAGCGCGCGCAGGCGGUUCCUUAAGUCUGAUGUGAAAGCCCACGGCUCAACCGUGGAGGGUCAUUGGAAACUGGGGAACUUGAGGACAGAAGA
rnacentral:rRNA from 1 species